rnacentral:rRNA from 1 species
AUUGAACGCUGGCGGCAGGCCUAACACAUGCCAGUCGAACGGUAACAGGAAGCAGCUUGCUGCUUCGCUGACGAGUGGCGGACGGGUGAGUAAUGUCUGGGAAACUGCCUGAUGGAGGGGGAUAACUACUGGAAACGGUAGCUAAUACCGCAUAACGUCGCAAGACCAAAGAGGGGGACCUUAGGGCCUCUUGCCACCGGAUGUGCCCAGAUGGGAUUAGCUAGUAGGUGGGGUAACGGCUCACCUAGGCGACGAUCCCUAGCUGGUCUGAGAGGAUGACCAGCCACACUGGAACUGAGACACGGUCCAGACUCCUACGGGAGGCAGCAGUGGGGAAUAUUGCACAAUGGGCGCAAGCCUGAUGCAGCCAUGCCGCGUGUAUGAAGAAGGCCUUCGGGUUGUAAAGUACUUUCAGCGGGGAGGAAGGGAGUAAAGUUAAUACCUUUGCUCAUUGACGUUACCCGCAGAAGAAGCACCGGCUAACUCCGUG